GAUGAACGCUGGCGGCGUGCCUAAUACAUGCAAGUCGAGCGAACAGACGAGGAGCUUGCUCCUCUGACGUUAGCGGCGGACGGGUGGGUAACACGUGGAUAACCUACCUAUAAGACUGGGAUAACUUCGGGAAACCGGAGCUAAUACCGGAUAAUAUAUUGAUCCGCAUGGUUCAAUAGUGAAAGACGGUUUUGCUGUCACUUAUAGAUGGAUCCGCGCCGCAUUAGCUAGUUGGUAAGGUAACGGCUUACCAAGGCAACGAUGCGUAGCCGACCUGAGAGGGUGAUCGGCCACACUGGAACUGAGACACGGUCCAGACUCCUACGGGAGGCAGCAGUAGGGAAUCUUCCGCAAUGGGCGAAAGCCUGACGGAGCAACGCCGCGUGAGUGAUGAAGGUCUUCGGAUCGUAAAACUCUGUUAUUAGGGAAGAACAAAUGUGUAAGUAACUAUGCACGUCUUGACGGUACCUAAUCAGAAAGCCACGGCUAACUACGUG
rnacentral:rRNA from 1 species